rnacentral:rRNA from 1 species
UACGGGGGGAGCAAGCGUUGUUCGGAUUUACUGGGCGUAAAGGGCGCGUAGGCGGUCGUGACAAGUCACUUGUGAAAUCUCCGGGCUUAACUCGGAACGGUCAAGUGAUACUGCCGGACUAGAGUACAGAAGGGGCAACUGGAAUUCUCGGUGUAGCGGUGAAAUGCGUAGAUAUCGAGAGGAACACCUGCGGCGAAGGCGGGUUGCUGGGCUGACACUGACGCUGAUGCGCGAAAGCUAGGGGAGCGAACAGG